rnacentral:rRNA from 1 species
CCUACGGGGGGCAGCAGUGGGGAAUAUUGCACAAUGGGGGAAACCCUGAUGCAGCGACGCCGCGUGAGUGAAGAAGUAUUUCGGUAUGUAAAGCCCUAUCAGCAGGGAAGAAGAAAGACGGUACCUGACUAAGAAGCCCCGGCUAACUACGUGCCAGCAGCCGCGGUAAUACGGAGGGGGCAAGGGUUAUCCGGAUUUACUGGGUGGAAAGGGAGCGUAGACGGCUGUGCAAGUCUGAAGUGAAAGCCCAGGGCUCAACCCUGGGACUGCUUUGGAAACUGGGGAGCUAGAGUGCGGGAGAGGUAAGUGGAAUUCCUGGUGUAGCGGUGAAAUGCGUAGAUAUUAGGAGGAACACCAGUGGCGAAGGCGGCUUACUGGACAGUAACUGACGCUGAGGCUCGAAAGCGUGGGUAGCAAACAGGAUUAGAUACCCGAGUAGUC